AUUGAACGCUGGCGGCAUGCCUUACACAUGCAAGUCGAACGGCAGCACGGGGGCAACCCUGGUGGCGAGUGGCGAACGGGUGAGUAAUAUAUCGGAACGUACCCUGGAGUGGGGGAUAACGUAGCGAAAGUUACGCUAAUACCGCAUACGAUCUACGGAUGAAAGUGGGGGCUCGCAAGACCUCAUGCUCAUGGAGCGGCCGAUAUCUGAUUAGCAGUUGGUGGGGUAAAGGCCUACCAAGGCGACGAUCAGUAGCUGGUCUGAGAGGACGACCAGCCACACUGGGACUGAGACACGGCCCAGACUCCUACGGGAGGCAGCAGUGGGGAAUUUUGAACAAUGGGGGCAACCCUGAUCCAGCAAUGCCGCGUGAGUGAA
rnacentral:rRNA from 1 species